UACGUAGGCGGCUAGCGUUAUCCGGAUUUACUGGGCGUAAAGAGGGUGUAGGCGGCUCUUCAAGUCGGAUAUAAAAUCUCUCGGCUUAACUGAGAGGGACUGUCCGAUACUGUUGGGCUGGAGAGCAGCAGAGGGAGAUGGAAUUCCCGGUGUAGUGGUGAAAUGCGUAGAUAUCGGGAGGAACAUCAGUGGCGAAAGCGGUCUCCUAGGCUGUUUCUGACGCUGUGGCCCUAAAGCGUGGGGAGCAAACAGG
rnacentral:rRNA from 1 species